GGGUGAGGCUCCGCGCCCGCACAGCGCCCCCACCGGAGACCAGGGUGACGCCGGGAGAUCACAAGGGUGAGUGUCCUCCCUGCUGCUGCGACAUGUCACCCUGACUGCUCGUCACAGAGCAGGACUAGCACCGGUCUACAUGGAGCAGAUGUUAAUGCGGUGGACUCGCUCUCUCUGAAGUGCCAGGGUUACACAGCCUUGAAUUCUCCUAGUGCCGGACUCUAGGAAGCCAUAUUUUGUUUGCCAAACUGGAAACCCCCCAAUGCAAAUGAACAGGGUGAAAUGGAAGAGCAGCAGCUUUCAGUGGAUGAUGACCUCUUACCCAUAUAUUAUGUUCGACCUGACAUAGAAACGGACACCUUGCUUAGGGUUUGUCAGGAACACAAGGCCCAAGCCAGUGUGUUCCCCUUUUUGAACCAUGACGCAAAGACUCAUGAGAUGUCCAGCCAACAUCCUCACAAAGAUCAAGUAGACACCAAAGAGUCUGGUUGCAUCUCAGGUACUAAUGCUGAGAACUGUUGUAGAGGCCAGGCAUAUUCAGAACCCCAAAGGGAUGUCCAGCUUGAUCCCCAGGCACCAUUUUUAUAUAAAUCCACCAACAUGAAGACCCAAGUCAACUCCUCGUCCAAGAACAUCUCUGCUCAGGAUGUCUUUUUGGCGAGCUUACUUCAGGCACAACUAUGUGUGAUGGAUCUCCAAGACGAGAUUGAUCAUUCGGAGAACUGUACCACCAGGAGAAUGCAGGAAUCCAGACCUCACAUUGAGGUGGAUGCUUUAGUGGACGAGGAACUUCCCACUUUGGAAGAGGACCAAGAAAGCGAUGAUGCUUCAUAUUCAGAAGUGGAGGUGGAAGAUGAGAGCUUAUUUUGUGAUAAUCCCUUGUUUAGGAACUCUACGACUUCAUGUCCAGUGGUUGAAAGUACACAGCAAUGUAUUACCACUUGUGACCUGGCAGAAGCUAACGGGAGCCAGCAGCUGCCAACACAGGACGUCUGGGAGAUUAAAAUAUUAGGUACGAGAACAGAUGUGUGGCAUCAGAUGACACGGGAAGAGUCGCUGGAGGAGCUCCAGAUUUAUGAGGAUGAGUGGGAGGAGAAGUGGGCAUUGUCUGAAAACUCAAGGACCAAUAAAUGGCUUGUUUCUGAUACUCAACACAGUACCCAGAAGGAUGUCUUAAGAAGAACAGAAGAAACCCAGAAGAGUAUGACGGCAUUAAACUCUACAGCAAGUGCGACCGAAACCUCUGCCACCCAGGAGGCCGCUCAUGAAGACGAGGGUUUACUGUUUUCCGAUUCUAGUUUCUGGACCAAAUUGUUAAUAGAAGAUGAGAAACCUGAGCAGAAGAAUCCACCACCUCAAGCAUUUCUGGACAACAUGUGCACUCCGCAGGAGACUGGUGGAGACAUUGUGUUCAUGCAGUGCCCUGAGAGAGACAUGCCUAUAGAGAACCACGAGGAAGGAGAGGCACAUCUGGUGUGCCAAGGCUGUCAAGGCAAGGAACACGUGGCCGGUAGAGUGCCAAUGCAGGGCAAGGCAGAAGAAAUGGACGCUCGUCCUCCAGAGAUUGUAAUAGACCUAUCAGAUGAUGUGUCCACUGAUCUGGAGACUUCUGGCUCUGAGGAGGCAACCUAUGUGGAGGCCGUAGCCAGGAGUCAGGAUGUGGAGGCAGUUCGAUGUUUGGCGUUGAAAUUAUUCCAUCUGGAUGGUUUUGACAGAUCUCAGGUCGCUCCCUACCUUCAGAAAAAUAAUGACUUCAGUGCCUUGGUGGCCGAGGAAUACCUUGCACUUUUCGACUUCACAGGGAAAAGCCUGGAUAUGGCUCUCAGGUCUCUGCUGCAGGAACUGGUACUGACUGGGGAAACACAGGAGCGAGAGCGUGUCCUCUUCCAUUUCUCCAAGCGCUUCCACAGCUGCAACCCUAAAGAUUACCGCUCUGCAGAUGCUGUUCACACUAUGACCUGCGCCCUCAUGCUGCUCAAUUCAGAUCUACAUGGACAGAAUAUCGGGAGGAGCAUGACGUUACCAGAAUUUAUUAAUAAUCUUGACGGUAUGAAUGAUGGCAGCAAUUUUCCUCGGGAGCUUCUGAAGGGUUUGUACAACUCGAUCCGUACUGAGAAGUUGGAAUGGGCCGUGAAUGAAGAAAGACUGCCCAACACCCGACUUACAAGGCCCGAGAGUCUUAUGUCUGUUCGGAAAAGAAGCAACCCUUUUGUGGACAUACCUGCUCCUGACCCAGAUGCUCCGGUGUACAAACAAGGAGUGCUCUGCCGUAAAGUGCACGCUGAUGCUGAUGGAAAGAAAACUCCAUGGGGAAAACGAGGCUGGAAAUCCUUUCACGCGGUUUUGAAGGGGAUGCUGCUCUUCUUGUUGAAGGAUGAGUACAGGUCUGACUUUCAUUUUCCUGAGGAGGUGAUCAGUGUGCAUCAUUCUCUGGCCGAGAGAGCCAGCGAGUACACCAAGAGACCCAACGUCUUCCGGCUGCAGACCGCCGACUGGCGCGUGUUCCUCUUCCAGACUCAGACACCAGAAGAGAUGAACUCAUGGAUGAUCCGUAUUAACUUGGUGGCAGCUAUGUUUUCAUCACCGCCAUUUCCAGCCGCUGUCGGUUCCCAAAGAAGAUUUUACAGACCCAUCCUCCCCUCCGCUGCAUGUAAACUGGACCUGGAAGAGCAACUUCAGUCCCAUGAAUCCUUGAUGGACAGGUUUACAGAUGACCUGACAGAGCAUCAGCGGAAUCUUCCAGACUCCAAGAGCAAAACGCGAGAAUGGGAGGACUAUCACCUGCGAGGAGACUACUUGCGUUUUGAGAAAUUAAGGUACGAAACCUACGUGAAGCUUUUAGUCCUACGGAUGGAGAACGGCUGUGAAGACCUCCAGGCCUUAGAGUCUCGCCUUACAGAACCUGAUGGAGAGCACGAGAGCUCUGGCCUAAAACGCUCCUACUCCAGCCCCUCGCUGAACCCCGAGAGUUCUGCCAUGGAGGUGAAGGUCAAACGUAACAUCUCCGAGCGGAGAACGUAUCGCAGGAUUAUCCCCAAGCGCAAUAAAAACUUAGUGUGAUCGGUGAACCCAACUCAGGACAGAACUUAUGCCGGAAAGCCUGCACUUUUCAUGGUACCUCACUAUGUGCAGCAUAAACAGGGACCACUGAUUGCCUUUAUAUCCAAUGCGAAGGGAAAUCUGACGAGAUUGUGCAUGGUGUGUCCUUACACAAGAAGGAACUCUACGGGAUUCUUAACCAGUAUUAAUGGUAGUGUGUGUGUGUGUGUGUGUGCAAACGCGAGGGUGUUAACAUUAGUUUUGGCCACUAGCUGGCGCUGUGGUACCACUGAGAUGAAGAGCUAAUGUAGACUUGCUGAUGAAUAGGAUUUAAGAAGACGAUUUCCUCUAUAACUGAAAAAUCACCAGUAAUGAAAGAGGAGUCCCAGGAACCAGGGAGUCCCGCAAAGCACCCUAAUGACACACAAAUUGUCUGUAGGAGAAACUUUGUAAUAUACUUACCAUUCCAAAAUUGCAUGGAUCAGCCUUCGGAGGACUCUGUCACAGGAUGCUCCUCUUCCGAGAAUCCUGCUUCCAGCCCAGGCUAUGGAUGGGACAUUACUUAGGGUCUAUUCACAGGUCCGCAAUUCUGUUCCGCAUUUUUGCAGAAUGGAAUUGCGGACCCUUUCAUUUCUAUGGGGCCGGAUCCGCACUUCCGG